CCUACGGGGGGCAGCAGUGAGGAAUAUUGGUCAAUGGACGAGAGUCUGAACCAGCCAAGUAGCGUGAAGGAUGACUGCCCUAUGGGUUGUAAACUUCUUUUAUACGGGAAUAAAGUGAGCCACGUGUGGCUUUUUGUAUGUACCGUAUGAAUAAGGAUCGGCUAACUCCGUGCCAGCAGCCGCGGUAAUACGGAGGAUCCGAGCGUUAUCCGGAUUUAUUGGGUUUAAAGGGAGCGUAGGCGGGUUGUUAAGUCAGUUGUGAAAGUUUGCGGCUCAACCGUAAAAUUGCAGUUGAUACUGGCGACCUUGAGUGCAACAGAGGUAGGCGGAAUUCGUGGUGUAGCGGUGAAAUGCUUAGAUAUCACGAAGAACUCCGAUUGCGAAGGCAGCUUACUGGAUUGUAACUGACGCUGAUGCUCGAAAGUGUGGGUAUCAAACAGGAUUAGAUACCCUGGUAGUC
rnacentral:rRNA from 1 species